rnacentral:rRNA from 1 species
UACGAAGGGGGCUAGCGUUGCUCGGAAUUACUGGGCGUAAAGGGUGCGUAGGCGGGUCUUUAAGUCAGGGGUGAAAUCCUGGAGCUCAACUCCAGAACUGCCUUUGAUACUGAGGAUCUUGAGUUCGGGAGAGGUGAGUGGAACUGCGAGUGUAGAGGUGAAAUUCGUAGAUAUUCGCAAGAACACCAGUGGCGAAGGCGGCUCACUGGCCCGAUACUGACGCUGAGGCACGAAAGCGUGGGAGCAACAGGG